ACAGAGUAAGUGAGAUUUUCUUCAACCUAUCUUCUUCAACCUAAUUUCAGUUUUCUGACGGAAAUUUUUUCAUACAAUCAGCAAGUUUGCUUGGGAAACGUGAAUAUUAGAUUGAAAUCUCGUUUCCCAUUCGUUUCCGGGAUGAAUUCAGUUUCAAACACGUCUCUAUUUUUCUGAAACGGUUUCGGCGCGCGUUUCCCGGUUUCCCCGUUCCAGGACGUUUCGGAAACGAUCUAGAGAGGAUGAACAGCAUUGAACAUAGGGCGGUUAGCAAUAGCAGAGGAAGACGACUUAACCGAGAUGAAGAUGAGGAUGAUGAAGAUGAAGAUAAUGAUAUGUCUGCAUGGGAGAAAGCCUAUACCGAUGAGAGAUCAUGGGAAUCUUUGCAAGAAGAUGAAUCUGGGCUACUUCGUCCAAUUGAUAAUACGUCGAUCUACCAUGCUCAAUAUCGUCGGCGUAUUCGUUCCAUCUCGUCUACCUCAACCUCUGCUCGAAUUCAGAAAGGCCUUAUUCGCUAUAUCUAUGUCGUCAUGGAUUUCUCAAGGGCAGCAGCGGAGAUGGAUUUUAAACCAAGCAGAAUGGCCGUUGUUGCCAAACAUGUAGAGGCUUUUGUAAGGGAGUUUUUUGACCAAAAUCCACUUAGUCAAAUUGGUCUUGUGGCAAUUAAAGACGGUGUUUCUCAUUGCCUAACGGAUAUGGGUGGUAGCCCGGAGUCUCAUAUUAAGGCUUUGAUGAAGAAGUUGGAGUGUUCAGGGGAUGCGUCUUUACAGAAUGCCUUAGAACUUGUUCAUGAAUGCUUGAAUCAAAUUCCAUCAUAUGGCCACCGUGAAGUUAUAAUUUUGUAUUCGGCUCUUAGUACCUGUGAUCCAGGUGACAUAAUGGAGACUAUUCAAAAGUGCAAGAAGUCGAAGAUUAGGUGUUCAAUACUGGGUCUUUCUGCAGAGAUGUUUAUUUGCAAACACAUAUGCCAGGAAACAGGUGGAUCAUAUGCUAUUGCCUUGGAUGAGUUCCAUCUGAAAGAGUUGUUGUUGGAACAUGCACCUCCUCCUCCAGCCAUCGCUGAGUAUGCAAUUGCUAACUUGAUCAAGAUGGGUUUUCCACAAAGAGCAGCGGAAGGCGUGGUCUCAAUAUGUGUAUGUCAUAAAGAGGCUAAGGUUGGUGCUGGAUACACCUGUCCGAAAUGCAAGGCUCGUGUUUGUGAGCUGCCCACAGAAUGUCGUAUAUGUGGGCUAACACUUGUUUCUUCUCCCCAUUUAGCAAGGUCAUAUCAUCAUCUCUUUCCAAUAACACCGUUUGAUGAGGUAUCUUUUCCAAACAGAAAGAUUGCCGGACAGAAAUCAUAUGAAACAUGCUUUGGAUGCAUGCACAAUCUGAUGGAUCCUGGGACUGGAUCUGGUUACUGUGUUACGUGUCCGAAAUGCAAAAAGUAUUUCUGCCUUGAUUGUGACAUUUAUAUUCAUGAAAGUUUGCAUAAUUGCCCCGGCUGCGAGAGUUUAAGACAUUCCAAUUCAAUCAAUGCUGGUGGAUGAUGAAAGACCUGUACGAUCUGUUUGUCCCUCUGAUGAGCGAUUUUUUCUUCAAAUUUUUACUCGGAGGCAAAAUCGUACAACCAAGUCAAUUAUCGUGUUCUAAGGAGAGGUCAUAAGCCUCAAGUUCAAGAAUGAAGAGUAAGCCAUUGAAAGUUCCAGCACUGGCUGCACAUUCCUAUCUUCACUUGAGUUUUUAUGGUUAAGUUGGCCGUUUCGUAGGCAUAUUUGAUUGGUUUGGGUAACUCUUCCUAGAAAGUGUAGUGGAGCUGAAUACUGUUGUUCUUGUGUAGGACUUGUGUUGGCUAGGCUUGGGAGUAUUUUUUUGUCAGUAUCUCAUCUUCCAGGUUGUAUUAAAUUGUUUAAAUUAUUAAUAAAAAUUAUUUAAUUGCCAAAAAUUAAAAUAUUUCAGAAAGCUAUUGAGCUUAAAGUUCGAUGCAAAUCUUUAGCAGUCAGCAUUGUGUUGGGCGUUACUGAUUUCUGCGAAAGGUGCGAGCAAUGACCUGUAGAGGUCGUGACCAUGUUAUAACUUCUCGGUGAGGCUGGUUACUUUGACUCUAGGUUACAGGGUAUAUAGUGAUCAGGCUAAUAGUCUGGUUGUGAUACUUGUGAACAAAAUAAGUUCAGGCAACCGAUUAAGAAGACUAUGAAGGGAGCGAGUUCUGCAUUUGAAUCUGAGAAAGGAAAACAGAAGGAGAUUAGGAGGUAAUUUGGGGUAAUUUGAGGGAAUGAGGAAUUCGAUUGAAGGAGCUUCGAAGCUGCUAAAGACAUAAACCAGUAAGAUGGAAAUGAGAAAGUAGUCAGAAAUUUCUGGGAUGAACAGGGAAUGAAAGGACUUACUGACAACAUGAUUGCCUGUUGUUUCUUAGGUUUAUCAUGAAGGAAUAUGUCCUUUAAUCAAGAUGGCAAUCACUAAAUAUAGAUUAGGAUUAAUAAUGGAGAUUAAUAAUCCGGUUAUUUAGGUGGUCAUAAUAUUUUGCUAGAAACCAAUUAUGAUCUGUGGGCUAAUUAUUAUUGGGCUACUACUAACAUAACCGGGUCCUAUAAGGUCACACACAAUAGAGUAUUGGAUAUGAUCAAUAUGACCCAAGGCCCAUGAUGGUCUUUGGUGUUGGAUAGGAUUUUGGAGUAGUUAAGGUUUACUAGGAUACUAGGUUCCCUAGUUCUAGUAGGAUUGGUUUAUCAAGUUAUUAUAUAUAGACGUGAUGACCAUAUGAUUGAAAAAAAGUUGAAUAAAUUAUUAACCUUAUUCAAUACUCCAAAUCCGUCCCUUCCUUGUGAAAGUGAGAGAGAGAUUUCCAUCUUCUCCAUCCGUUCUAGCAAACGACGCAAGGAGAUCUUGAUCCGUGCUCGUGUGGACUAAGUAGAGGAAUCACGCUUGGGGUUCUGUCCCCGAAUUGGUCCUUGUUCGUAUACUCGGGAAUCACGCAUCAAAGGUAUAUUUAACUCCUAUAUUAUGAUUCAUAUUAAUGUAUGCUUGCGAUCCUGUUAGAUGUGAGAAAAGUGUUUUCUGCGAUUCCGCUAUUAGCAUCUAAUCUUACAGUGGUAUCAGUUAGCUCCUUGCAUACGUUAAUUUUGAUCAUGAUUAAAGUUUUAAUUUUGAUGCAUAUUCUUGAUUAUUUUUGAUUCAAUACGACAGAAAAUAGUAUAUGGAUUAAUAUGGAAAAUUAAAAUAUUGAUUUUAAUUGUUUGGGUUGUGUAAAAUAUUGAUCUUAUACAACGAACUCUCGUCAAAACAUGUCUGCUAUAUGAAUUCGAAAUUUAUGGCUAAAUAAUCUGAUUAUUUAGCUUAUUAUUUUCAACUUGUACCUGAUUUAUGCCCAAAACAUUGAUUAAUUGUGCACAAAAUCGUUUUAUGCCCAAUUUUUCUAUGAACCCUAAUUUUAUGAAAGUUACACACCCCAAAUUCAAUCAAAUUGUUGUUUGAAAUCUUACCAAUUCACGCAAAUUGUUGCGCGAAUCUAGUGGGAGAAGCGGGAUUGGGCGCGGCUUGCUUCCGGGGGCAAGGUUGUCGGGGUUGUCGAGCAAGGCUGCACAAACCCGGAAGCCAGUGGGCUCGCGCAACUGUUGCGUGGAUGCUUGGUGGUGACUCCGGCCGUUUUCUGCGAUGGUGGCUGCGGCGUUUUCACCUGUGAUAACGUGCCGGUAUCGCUGACGAACGGGUGACAUGACAGGCUGGUGGUCGGAGGUAAUAGGUGAUAAGUUGGUUGCUGAUAUUGUUUCGGUGCUGCAUCUUACUUCGAAUAUCGUAUACCCAAAAAAUCGCCUAACUUAAUCAAUGCUCGGAUUAUACAGGGGUGUGCACGGUGCUCUCGUGCACCUGCCCAAAAACGCACAAAAUAAAAAUAAAACGCAACAAACAUAAAAAUCGCAAAAAAAGAUAGAAAAGAACAGAGAAAAUAAAUCAGAAAAGAACAUUAACAAGUAAAGUAAAAGAACAUUAGCAAAAAACCAAAAAGAACAGUAAUAUUGACAAAUCAGACAAAAGGUACAAAUAUAAAAAGCAGUUAUAUUUUUUCUUGUUCUUUUAAGUUCUGGAAAUGUUCUUUUCCAACCAAUUUACAGUAUGUUCUAAUUAAAAAUAAAACGACGAACCUUUGAUGAACUUUAAAACCAAAUUUAUAUUUUUUCUUGUUCUUUUAAGUUCUGGAAAUGUUCUUUUCCAACCAAUUUAUAUUCUAAUUCAAAAAUAAAACGACGAACCUUUGAUGAACUUUAAAACCAGAUCUAUAUUUUUUCUUGUUCUUUUAAGUUCUGGAAAUGUUCUUUUUUAACCAAUUUAUGCUCUAAUUCCGUUGUUUUAUUUAUCAAAAAAAUAUCUGAAAACAUCACUAUAAUAUGUAAAAAGAACAAUUGCUGAUUCUAAAAAAGAACACACUAUUUUGAUGCCAUAGAAAUAGAAAGUUAUAAGAAAAGAACAUUAAAAUUUAAAAAGAACAUAGAAUUAAGAACGAGAAAAUUUACCUUAAUCACCCGAUGCACCUUUAUCAACAUCAUAAACUUCUUUGAAUGAAUAAAAAAAUUUCAAAAAAUAGCGAAAUUGAAAUAGUAUUUCGCUUAAUAAACUAGUUUUUUGUAAACGUAAUUCAAUUAAAAUCACAUUUCAGAGAAAGGAGGAGAAAAUUUGUUUUGAACUUUCUCUCUCAUAAAAUCUCUCUUUUGUUGGGAGAAACUAAAAGCUCUCCUCUUUCUCUAUCAAGAAUGUGUUUCUAAAAUGAGAAGUUAUGAAUCCAAUAGGAGAAAUAUUAUAUAUAUAGAAAAUGAAAAAUAAAAGAAAUAAAAAAAAGAGGGGGAAGGAGAAGAAAUACAAGCCAUGUUCAUGAUAAGAACGGUGCACUUGUUUUUUUUUUUUUGGGUUUUGUUGUUCUGUUCUUUUAUGUUUAUUAGAUAUAAAUCUUAAUGUUCUUUUAUGUUUGUUCUUUUUUCAAAAAGUACAGUAUUGAAGAGCAAAGGAAGCUUUUACUUGACCAGCAACAAAUGAUGUUAAAUCUUCAAAAACAGCUAAAAGAACAAGAAGAGAGGCUGAAUAAACAGAGCAAUUCAUCAAAAGAACAAAAAGAGGAUGAACCUCAAAGAACAUAUAAAUAAAAGAACAUUAUAAAUAAAGAAAAAAAACAUUAUAAAUACAGAAAAGAACAUAUCAUGUAGAACACUUAUUUUAACCAUGUAAAACAACAUUACCAAUAAAAAAACGAACAACAACAGAGCAUCAAAGAACAUAAUAAAGUAAAGAAAAAGAACAUUAUAAAUAACAGAAAAGAACAUAUCAUGUAGAACACUUAUUUUAACCAUGUGAAAAAAGAACAACAAAAAAGAUAAAAGAACAACAAAAAUGGUAAAAGAACAAUUUGAUCUGAAGUGUGUAAUAUCAAAAGAACAACAAGCUAAAGCAAAAAAGAACAAUAAGCUAAAGCAUAAAAGAACAACAAGCUAAAGCAAAAAAGAACAACUUGUUCAAUAAUUAUUUUCUGUAUUAUUACGAUAUCUUAAUACAUAUAUGAGAACCAAUAUAUAAAAAAACAAAAGAUAAGACUAAAAGAACAUAUAAAAUCGAAAAAAGAACAGAAAUCAAAAUCAUCAGAAAUAUAUAAUCAAGAUACAUAAAUCAAGGUUAUUGAGAAAUGCAGAAAUCGAAAUGAUAAAAAAAAAUCAAAAUAAAUUGAAAUGACGAAAAUAAUGAACAUGGAAAUCAAAAUCAUCAUAAAUAAGUAAUUCGUUUUUUAAAAAUUGAAAAAUUACCUUCACAAAUCGGAUUAUCAACAGAGGAAUCAAAUUUGAAGAAGAAUCAAUAGAAUUUGAUAUUGAAGUAGAAAAAUCAACCAAUAUCUGAGAAUUUUCCAUUACUUUCUCUCUCAUUUUCACAGUUUCUCUUUCCUUUCCAUAGUUUUUCUCUCUCCUCUUCACAAAUUCUGAUUCGAAAAUUAUAAAAAAGAAGGUAUAUAUACCAGAAAAAUGGAGCGAAAAACAAAAGAGCGACAAAAAAGGGACAGAGCAGUCAUUGUUCUUUUUUUUAAACAAAAGAACAACGUUUGUUCUUUUUUUUUAUCAAAAAAACGUUUGUUCUUUUCUUCUCCGGAUUCAACAAGAUAUCCGUGUUUUAUAUAUGACGCGUGUCGUUUGGACACCGGUGCACCAAGAGCACCAUACACACCCCUGCACAAUCGUAUUUGCGUAACUUAACAUGGACUUGGUUUUGUCUUUUGUCAUUAUUAUCAAACUACUCCAUGUAACCUUUUUUUUUAUCAAUUCCAUAUGCUAUUACCAUUGAAUCAAAAUAAUAAGAUUGUUUUAAAUUAAUUAAUUUAGGUAAGUUAGGCUAAUUAAUUAAAAAUAAGAUAAUUAUCAAUAUGAUUAAUAGUUUAUUAAGGUCAUUUACUUUAAUUAAGUAAAUGAAUGAAUGCCAAUAUUAUGAUAUUAUAUGAUAUGCGUGUAUGGAAUAUAUGAUAUUUUGUUACAGGCACGUGACUAGUAUGACCCAAAAUAGGAUAGAAAAUACGAUAUGCGUAUCGUUUUGUAUUCUUGUAAUUUUUAAAUACGAUCUGCGCAUCGUUUGUAUUAUUGUAAUUUAAGGUUUUAAAUUAGAUUAUAAAUACACUAUUGUAAGCACAAUGGAGCAAGAAGGUCCAAUCAAGAUUCAAGGAUGGUGAUCCAAGAAAGAUGAACAUGAACUUUUGAAGAUUUGAUCUAAAAGGGCCAUAAUAGGAUCACAUUUAUUUUAUGCAUUUUGUAUUGCCUUAAAAUGCUUAUCUAAGUUUAUGUAUGUUGCUAGUUUAUGUCAUUAGUUCACUAGUAAACGAACUAACAUAGUAAUACUUAGGUUCCUUAAAAGAAAAUUGAGGUAAUGUCUUUCCAAAUCAUAACCUAUGAGGCCUUGGGGAAUAUGGAAGAUAGUUUCUGCUAAAGCGGGGUGUCUUUUCAUUGACCUUAGGAUAGUACGGGUAAAUCUAUAUAAGGGGUUUAUAGCCUUGAUUUGGUUGCACUCAACAAAAUCAUCAAAAGAUAAAGUUUUGGAUUUUGAGGCAUAGAAAUAAGUUAACAUAAGAUGUAACCUAUUAACCAAGAGUUAUAAAUGGUAUAAUUAGUAAAGGGGUUUACUUACCUUGACCACAAUGAAUUUUAGGGAAGUGCUAAAGUACGCUUAAAACCUUGUGGAAUGGGGUCUUGGAAUCAUUUUAUUCACAAGGGACAAAAUAAUUUGAAUAAAAUGCACAUUAGCUUAUGUAUGUUUAAAGCAUGUUUAAUUUUUCUUAAGCUUUUGUAUGACAAACAUGAUUUUAAAUUUUGCAAAUUUUCUAUUGUAGAUAUUAUGACUAACAACCAACCUAUCAUCAAUAUUCGUUCGCUCCUUGAGAAGGACAAGUUGAACGGAAACAACUUCCUUGAUUGGGAAAGGAAUCUAAGAAUUGUGCUUAGAUCCGAAGGAAGAGAGGAUGUCCUUGAGACCCCUAUCCCAACUCUGAGCGCCACAGCAACUGAUGCUGAAAAGGCUGAUCAGAAAGCUAUAAAAGAGAAGUCAGUAGUUGUCACUUGCCUUAUGCUAGCUUCCAUGGAAUCAAAGCUUCAAAAGAGGUUUGAUUUAAUGGAUGCUUACACCAUCAUUGCUACUCUUAAAAGUAUGUUUGUGGAGCAAGAAAGGGUGGGGAGGUAUGAUACCCAUAAGGCAAUUCUUGAGUCCAAACUCGAGGUGGGUAAGCCAGUCGGUCCUCAUGUGUUCAAUAUGAUUGGACAUUUUGAGAACAUGGAAAGACUUGGAUUCCCAUAUGGUCAAUAGUUGGCCACUGACAUCAUUCUGCACUCUUUACAUGAUGGCUUUUCUCAGUUUAGGCUAACUUCAAUAUGAAUGGAGAUUCAAAAACUCUUGAAGAAUUACAUGGAAUGCUUAAAACUGUUGAGAAAAACAUAAUUGUUGAACCUAAGAAGGAAGUUCUCAUGGUCAACAAGGGAAAAGGGUUCAAGAAAGGGGCCGCUGGAAAGAAGAAGAAGCAUGUUCAAGGGAAGGGAAAAGAAGUUGCUCAUCCUAAGGCAAAAACUUCUGAAAAGGCUAGAGUAGUUGCUGACAGCGAUUGUUUCUACUGCAAUGCAAAAGGGCAUUGGAAAAGGAAUUGCCCAAAGUUCCUGGAAGACAAAAAAAAAUGGAACUGUAGCUUCCACUUCAGGGACUAAGAAGAAGUAGGAGCUUGGCUAAGGGAGAGGUAGACCUACGCGUUGGAAAUGGUGCAAAGGUUGCAGCCCUCGCAGUAGGAUAUUAUAGUCUAUCUUUACCAUCUGGUUUAGUGUUAGAAUUAAAUAAUUGUUAUUUUGUUCCUGCAAUUACCAAAAACAUCAUUUCAGCUUUCGUUUUGGAUUAUGAAGGUUUUACAUUCGUUAUAAAGAAUAAAUGUUGUUCUAUUUAUAAGGAUGAUAUGUUUUAUACCACUGCUAAAUUGUUGAAUGGGCUUUAUAUGCUA